GGGAGAGGUUCAAGUGCGCGUUUUCUCCUUGAACCUAGAAGAUUAUGGGUCAAGAACUGUGUGCAAAGACUGUACAGCCUGGAUGCAGCUGCUAUCGUUGCUCAGAGGGAAGUGAGGCACGCAGCUGUCGGAGGAAUCAGCCUGAGACCAUGGAGUCUGCGUUCAAGCUAACAGACCUAAAAGAAGCAUCAUGUUCCAUGACUUCAUUUCACCCCAGGGGACUUCAGGCUGUCCGUGCCCAGAAGUUCAAGAGUAAAAGGCCACGGAGUAACAGUGAUUCUUUUCAAGAAGAGGAUCUGAGGCAGGGUUUUCAGUGGAGGAAGAGCCUCCCUUUUGGGGCAGCCUCAUCUUACUUGAACUUGGAGAAGCUGGGUGAAGGUUCUUAUGCUACAGUUUACAAGGGGAUUAGCAGAAUAAAUGGACAACUAGUGGCUUUAAAAGUCAUCAGCAUGAAUGCAGAGGAAGGAGUCCCAUUUACAGCUAUCCGAGAAGCUUCUCUCCUGAAGGGCUUGAAACAUGCCAAUAUUGUGCUCCUGCAUGACAUAAUCCACACCAAAGAGACACUGACAUUUGUUUUUGAAUACAUGCACACAGACCUGGCCCAGUAUAUGUCCCAGCAUCCAGGCGGGCUUCAUCCUCACAAUGUCAGACUUUUCAUGUUUCAACUUUUGCGGGGCCUGGCGUACAUCCACCACCAACAUGUUCUUCACAGAGACCUGAAACCUCAGAACUUACUCAUCAGUCACCUGGGAGAGCUCAAACUGGCUGAUUUUGGUCUUGCUCGGGCCAAGUCUGUUCCCAGCCAAACAUAUUCUUCCGAAGUCGUGACCCUCUGGUACCGGCCUCCCGAUGCUUUGCUGGGAGCCACUGAAUAUUCCUCUGAGCUGGACAUAUGGGGUGCAGGCUGCAUCUUUAUUGAAAUGUUCCAGGGUCAACCUUUGUUUCCUGGAGUUUCCAACAUCCUUGAACAGCUGGAGAAGAUCUGGGAGGUGUUGGGAGUCCCUACAGAGGACACUUGGCCGGGAGUCUCCAAGCUACCCAACUACAAUCCAGAAUGGUUCCCGCUGCCUAAGCCUCCAAGCCUUCACGUUGUCUGGAACAGGCUGGGCAGAGUUCCUGAAGCUGAAGACCUGGCCUCCCAGAUGCUGAAAGGCUUUCCCAGAGACCGUGUCUCCGCCCAGGAAGCACUUGUGCAUGAUUACUUUAGUGCCCUCCCAUCUCAGCUGUACCAGCUUCCUGAUGCGCGAAGCAGCUGCGAUAAUUAUGCUGUCAGCCUCGGGAAGCUAAUGAGGAGUCACCGGAGUGGAAGGUUUUGCAUUUGUGAGAUUGCUGCAGGAGAGCCACGCUACAGCUUUUUUCGUUUUUUCUUUCCCUUUCUUUCUUCCUCCUCUUUCUUUUUCUAUGAGUUGGGAAGGAGAGUCUGGCAGUCCACGGCCAAAUUGGAAUCCUUUUGAUUAACCGGUUGCCUUCCCAACAUGUUCUGCCAGAUAAUGUCUCUCUCUCUCUCCCUCCCUGCUUUUGAGGAGCUGCUGCUUUUGAGGGGCAAGGAAGCCUGAGGGAAAUCCCAGCUUUUCAUGCCACUGUCCCCAAGGCAAGAGGAUACUUCUCCCCGAGAGAAGUUCCCCAAAUGAUUUGGAUUUGAGUUGGUUUGAGAACAAUCAGUAAAGUAUACGCACUGUUUAUUUUAGCUGUUUAACUGUCUAUACUAUGACAAGAGCUAAAAGAAAGUAGAAUACAAAAUUGCAUAUUAUAAUGUCCUUGUGAAAAUGUCUUUAUGCAUAGCAACAAAGUAUGAUGGUUCUCCUUUCCAGUCUAGCCAAUAUGCGAUUCCAAAUAGAAGAUGAGACCGCAGAUUACCUACCGCAUUUAGGGCAGAAGUGUAGGCCAGGAGAGGCAGGGCUGGCAAGUUUAUUUCUUCCAGCAAACAGCAUUAUUAAGGCAUUUUAUGCUUUUGGUGCACUAAGAACAGAGGCGUCUCUUUUUGUUAAAUUGUGAGGCAGUAUGCUCACAAUUUAACAAAAUUUUGACCAACCCAGGUUUACGCAGAUUGUGAACCUGGGAAAAGCAAUACUCACAUGGAAGGGGCCCUGAGCCAGUUUUGUGGGUGUACUUUGGCAACAGUGUGGCUGCUGCCUGUUGCCAUUUUUCUCGGGUAUCUGUGCUAAUACUUGUAACAAUAGCUACCAUUUAUUAAGAACAUAUUGUGUAUCAGAAACUAA